GAUGAACGCUGGCGGCGUGCCUAAUACAUGCAAGUCGAGCGAACAGACGAGGAGCUUGCUCCUUUGACGUUAGCGGCGGACGGGUGAGUAACACGUGGGUAACCUACCUAUAAGACUGGGAUAACUUCGGGAAACCGGAGCUAAUACCGGAUAAUAUUUCGAACCGCAUGGUUCGAUAGUGAAAGAUGGCUCUGCUAUCACUUAUAGAUGGGCCUGCGCCGUAUUAGCUAGUUGGUAAGGUAACGGCUUACCAAGGCAACGAUACGUAGCCGACCUGAGAGGGUGAUCGGCCACACUGGAACUGAGACACGGUCCAGACUCCUACGGGAGGCAGCAGUAGGGAAUCUUCCGCAAUGGGCGAAAGCCUGACGGAGCAACGCCGCGUGAGUGAUGAAGGUCUUCGGAUCGUAAAACUCUGUUAUUAGGGAAGAACAAACGUGUAAGUAACUGUGCACGUCUUGACGGUACCUAAUCAGAAAGCCACGGCUAACUACGUG
rnacentral:rRNA from 1 species